UACAGAGGGUGCGAGCGUUUGUCCGGAAUCAUUGGGCGUAAGGGUGAGUAGGUGGCUUGUUAAGCGUGUGGUGAAGCCUGGGCUCAACCCCGGUCUGCCGUGCGAACUGACAAGCUUGAGCAAAGUAGAGGCGAGUGGAAUUCGGGUGUAGCGGUGGAAUGCGCAGAUAUCAGGAGGAACACCGGUGGCGAAGGCGGGUCUCUGGGCAGUAACUGACGCUGAGGAGCGAAAGCGUGGGGAGCGAACAGG
rnacentral:rRNA from 1 species